rnacentral:rRNA from 1 species
GAUGAACGCUGGCGGCGUGCUUAACACAUGCAAGUCGAGCGAAGCGGCUGAAUUGAUUCUUCGGAUGAUUUUCAGUUGACUGAGCGGCGGACGGGUGAGUAACGCGUGGGUGACCUGCCCCAUACCGGGGGAUAACAGCUGGAAACGGCUGCUAAUACCGCAUAAGCGCACAGAGCUGCAUGGCUCGGUGUGAAAAACUCCGGUGGUAUGGGAUGGGCCCGCGUCUGAUUAGGCAGUUGGCGGGGUAACGGCCCACCAAACCGACGAUCAGUAGCCGGCCUGAGAGGGCCACCGGCCACAUGGGGACUGAGACACGGCCCAAACUCCUACGGGAGGCAGCAGUGGGGAAUAUUGCACAAUGGGGGAAACCCUGAUGCAGCGACGCCGCGUGAGCGAAGAAGUAUUUCGGUAUGUAAAGCUCUAUCAGCAGGGAAGAUAAUGACGGUACCUGACUAAGAAGCCCCGGCUAACUACGUGCCAGCAGCCGCCGUAAAAC